rnacentral:rRNA from 1 species
UACGUAGGGGGCAAGCGUUGUCCGGAAUUAUUGGGCGUAAAGAGCGUGUAGGCGGUCCGGUAAGUCAGCUGUGAAAGUCAAGGGCUCAACCCUUGAAUGCCGGUUGAUACUGUCGGGCUAGAGUCCGGAAGAGGCGAGUGGAAUUCCCGGUGUAGCGGUGAAAUGCGCAGAUAUCUGGAGGAAUACCGGUGGCGAAGGCGGCAUCCUGGACCGGCAUUGACGCUGAUGAGCGAAAGCUAGGGGAGCAAACGGG